rnacentral:rRNA from 1 species
AUACGGGGGAUGCAAGCGUUAUUCGGAAUCAUUGGGCGUAAAGGGCACGCAGGCGGUUCUGUCAGUCAGAUGUGAAAGCCCGGGGCUUAACCCCGGACGUGCAUUUGAAACAGCAGGACUUGAGUAUGGUAGAGGAAAGCGGAAUUCCUGGUGUAGAGGUGAAAUUCGUAGAUAUCAGGAGGAACACCGGUGGCGAAGGCGGCUUUCUGGACCAAAACUGACGCUGAGGUGCGAAGGCGUGGGUAGCGAACAGGAUUAGAUACCCCAGUAGUCC